GGUUAGAGUGUAGGGACGGCAGGUAGCCUAGUGGUUAGAGUGGAGGGACGACAGGUAGCCUAGUGGUUAGAGUGUAGGGACGGCAGGUAGUCUAGUGGUUAGAGUGUAGGGACAGGCAGGUAGACUAGUGGUUAGAGUGUAGGGGCAGGCAGGUAGCCUAGUGGUUAGAGUGUAGGGACGGCAGGUAGACUAGUGGUUAGAGUGUAGGGACGGCAGGUAGACUAGUGGUUAGAGUGGAGGGACGACAGGUAGCCUAGUGGAUAGAGUGUAGGGACGGCAGGUAGCCUAGUGGUUAGAGUGUAGGGACGACAGGUAGCCUAGUGGUUAGAGUGUAGGGACGGCAGGUAGACUAGUGGUUAGAGUGUAGGGGCGGCAGGUAGACUAGUGGUUAGAGUGGAGGGACGGCAGGUAGCCUAGUGGUUAGAGUGGAGGGACGGCAGGUAGCCUAGUGGUUAGAGUGUAGGGGCGGCAGGUAGACUAGUGGUUAGAGUGGAGGGACGGCAGGUAGCCUAGUGGUUAGAGUGGAGGGACGGCAGGUAGCCUAGUGGUUAGAGUGUAGGGACGGCAGGUAGACUAGUGGUUAUAGUGUAGGGACGGCAGGUAGACUAGUGGUUAUAGUGGAGGGACGGCAGGUAGACUAGUGGUUAGAGUGUAGGGGUGUCAGGU
rnacentral:lncRNA from 1 species